GGUGGGGCCCUUGAGAAGUGAUUAGGUCAUGAGAGUGGAGUCUGCAUGAAUGGGCUGAAUGCCCUUAUGAGGGAGGUUUCAAGGAGUUUGUAUUUCCAUCCACCACUUGAGGAUACAGCAGGAAGGCCCCGCCACUCAAGCAGAAAGCCCUCAUGAGACGCUGAUCUGCCAGUGCCUUGAUCUCACACUUGCCAGCCUCCAGAACUGUGAGCAAAUACAUUUCUGUUGCUUGUAAAUAUCCCAGUCUAGGGCAUUUUGUUAAAGCAGCCCCAACAGACUGAGACUCCACAUUUGGAGCCUCAUGCGCAUCAGCCCGCCUGCAGGAUUUAAAAUAUGAGUCGCUCUACCAGCAGGAACACAGCGUGUCACAGGGAGACCAGGACACCACACGGCUUUCAGUGCAAACUUGCUGACCACACAGGAGAUUUACAUCUACUUUCUUAUACAAAGAAUCGAAUCCUUUGCUUUCUGUUGGUAACAGCGAGUCACAGUUCAAAUCGGCGCAUGUCAAGUGAACAGAUUCCAGGUUCCAGCUUUCCCAGAAAACACAGAAACAUGGAGUAUUACACACAGCACUGAUUCAACUAAUUCACACUUCGUUUGUGAAGUAUGCCGUUUUCAUAGCCUUGUAAAGAAGUUACAGGAUUCUUCAAAGGGAUCCCUUCACUCAUCUGAGACACCCACUGCACAGUGUUUAAAAACAUGUUUGCUCUGGUUUAUACGCAGGAAGAGUCUAAACAAAAAGAAAAAAUGCAGAAAAAUAAUCUUUUCUCCAACAACUCUCCCCAAGCUGAUAUUUCCAUGGUGUUAUUCAAACCAGAAAAGCCUUCUCCUAUUGAAACUUGAAAUGUCCUAUUAAUGAACUGGGUGGUGGGGUGGGGGGGUGGAAGAUUAAAAGGAAGGCAAGAUAAAGACGCCUGUCGGAGCCUUUAAACCCUCCCUUCUCCGACCAAGGCUGCCCACAGGGAGGGCACGGAGGUGGAAUUCGCUUCCGCAGGCAGUCUCCCCAGGCGUCCUCCUGGACUCCGAAGCUCUGACUACCCCACACUGCCAAGUCCCUGGAUCUGCCUCUCUGAAGAGCCAUCCAGACCGACAUGCAGGGAGACCAUCUUCCUGGACACGGAGCCUCUGAAUCCCGGGGUCUCUCAUGCUGCACCCGUUAAAGUCUUCCUGUGGCCCUGACACCUCCAUCUCCCCUUUAUCCAGAAAAGAUGCAGGAACAAAUCUGCUUCAAUGUAAUUUAACUUAGCAGCCCAGAAUCUUUGCUCUUUCUGAUUUGAACUGAUUAAAAAACUUUAUAGAUAAUCAGACCAUACCUGUCCUAUUAAACAGAAAUUUAAAAGACUCAAAAUGUGGGCCAGGCACGGUGGCUCACACCUGUAAUCUCUGCACUUUGGGAGGCCGAGGCAGGCUGAUCACAAGGUCAGGAGUUCGAGACCAGCCUGACCAACAUGGUGAAACUCCAUCUCUACUAAAAAUACAAAACAAAUUAGCCAGGUGUGGUGGCUCAUGCCUGUAAUCCCAGCUACUCAGGAGGCUGAGGCAGGAGAAUCGCUUGAACCCAGGAAGCAGAGGUUGCAGUGAGCCGAGAUAGUGCCACUGCACUCCCGCCUGGGUGACAGAGCGAGAGACUCUGUCUCAAAAAAAAAAAAAAAAAAAAGAAGACGCAAAAUGUGUUAACCUGUGGAUAACAAAGUCUGUUUAACCAACAUUGCAAUACUUCACUUGGCAAAAUGAUACCCUGAAUCAUGAUAUAAAUGCCAGAUGCAUCGUAAGUUAAAUCCUCAACUUGGAAAACCUUUCCAGGCAUAUCAACAACCAAAAUUGCAGUUUUAGUCCUAAGAAAUACAGUUUUGUUCCCAAGACUUAGAGGCCCUCUUGGGUACCAAGUGUCUUUUGAACCGUGCAGCUAUCAGACAAUGAACUCAUCAAAUGUUUCUCCUGUAAUGCCACCCUUUAACCUACCGCUGUGGAUAUUUGUAAACUUUGUCUCUGUCAAAACAGACUGGCUGUAUCCAACAGCCUCCACCUUCAAAAAAAAGCUACUGAUUUAGCAAGGCUGCCCCAGUUCAUAGAACCUAUGUGUCUACCAUGCAAUCCAUUAUUGCUUAACAUAUACAACCUUAUCAAGUUUUAUGUAAGAAUGUUUUACUAGUAAAAUCUUAAUAUGGGCCCAUAAAAUAAUCAAACACAAACGUAGAAAACUUAACAUUCAACAUGAUAUUAAAAUAUCUCCUAGGGUCAAACAUCAAGGCUUCGAAUAAUUUAAUGAUCAAUAAAAAUUAACAUUGAAUUUGGUAGCAAACACUUAUAAAAUGGCAUCAUACAUUUGUAUCUGUUAAAUGCUUUAAGCACAUAGUUUUACAGAUGAUACAUGUUAUCCAAAAACUUACUCACUUUAUUUUGGCAGAUUUGAUGGACAGGCCGUGAGUGGGCUUCCGCUAUCACCGCUGCACUGCAGCCGGCGUUGAGGUCAAACACUUCCACGGUCCUGUUCCGGCCAGCUGCGAGUACGAUGUCUGCG
rnacentral:lncRNA from 1 species